rnacentral:rRNA from 1 species
UACGUAGGUGGCAAGCGUUGUCCGGAUUUACUGGGCGUAAAGAGCGCGCAGGCGGCUGGGCAAGUCCGAUGUGAAAGCUUCCGGCUUAACCGGAAAAUUGCAUCGGAAACUGCUCGGCUUGAAGGUGGGAGAGGGUAGCGGAAUUCCCGGUGUAGUGGUGAAAUGCGUAGAUAUCGGGAGGAACACCAGUGGCGAAGGCGGCUACCUGGCCCACUCUUGACGCUGAGGCGCGAAAGCUAGGGGAGCAAACGGG